AGUGAUGGGCGCCUGUAAUCCCACCUACUCGAGAGGCUGAAGCAGGAGAACGGCUUGAACCCACGAGGCGGAGGUUUCAGUGAGCCGAGAUCAUACCAGAGGGCCUUGAGUCUCCAGUUUGUUUUUGACCAUUGACAGCUUGCUCUUUGUGGGAACCAAACCAAACAGCUUCCUCAAUUCAGACUUAGCAUGUCUUGGGUGACCAUCUCUGAUGGAAAAAAAAAGAAACAGCUUUUUUUUUUCUCUACACUCACACUCCAAAGGACGAUGAUUGGGUGUCCUAUAAUUCAAUUCAACUCUGACACAAUCCACCUGGAGAUAGCAUCAGAUCCCACAGGUUAGGGCUCAGCCCCACAAGACAGUCCCUAACUCUAGACCCCAGUCGCAAGUCCUAGGUUAUGGCCUGGCUAUAAAUUGGGGUUCCCACGACUCCCUCCUCAGGUUUGAUUAAUUUGCUAGGAUGGCUCACAGAACUCAGGGAAACACCUUGUGCCCUCCGGUAACCCUCCACAUGGUCAUACACAUAGACACUUUCCAAACCCAGUCCUUUGAGGUUUUUAAUGGAGAUUUCAUUACAUAGGUAUAAUCGGUUACAUUAUUAGCCAUUGGUGAUCAACUCAACCUUCAUCCCUCCUCCCCUCCAAAGAGGUCAGUCCAUGAACUGCAAGUUCCAACUCUCUAAUCACAUGGUUAUCUGCCCUGGCCACCAGCCCCAUCCUGUGGCUAUCCAGGAACCCACCAAGAGUCACCUCAUUAGAACAAAGAUACUCCUAUCACCCAGGAAACUCCAAGGCAUUUAAGAGUUCUGUGUCAGACACUCCUAUCACUCAAGAAAUUACAAGGGUCUCAGGAGCUCUGCGUCCAGAACUGGGUCAAAGACCAAAUAUUAGAACAAAAGAUUCUCCU
rnacentral:lncRNA from 1 species